rnacentral:rRNA from 1 species
CCCUUAGAUGUCCGGGGCCGCACGCGCGCUACACUGAAGGAAUCAGCGUGGCUCUGUCCCUGGUCCGAAAGGAUUGGGAAACCCGUUGAAUCUCCUUCGUGAUAGGGAUUGGGGCUUGGAACUGUUCCCCAUGAACGAGGAAUUCCCAGUAAGCGCGAGUCAUAAGCUCGCGUUGAUUACGUCCCUGCCCUUUGUACACACCGCCCGUCGCUACUACCGAUUGAACGGUCCGGUGAAAUCUCGGGACGGCGGCUUGGUCGCUUGCGUCCGACUGCUGAAACUUGAUUAAACCAUAUCAUUUAGAGGAAGGUGAANUCGUANCA